AGAUCUGGUUUACUCUGCAGUGAGAACUGGAGACGUCGAGUACGGACAGAUAAACAUCAGAGAGACUGGAGACCAGCAGAGGAGCAGAGAGAUGGAUCCGGGUCCAGUUUACUCUGCAGUGAGGACAGCAGACAUCAGACCCAACAGAACCAGAGAACCGAAACCGGAACCAGAACCAGACGUGGUUUAUUCUGCAGUCAGACCAACUGAUGGACGAUAACAGAUCCAUGAACAUCACGUCUGUUUACACUCAGUUAUUUUUAUAAGAGAUUGAUAUAAAACAUAUUGUAACUUUAUAGUAAAUUCAUAAACAGCUAAUAGAUAAAAACAUUUUCAUUUGAUUUGACAUGUUUUAUUUUCUUAUGGUCCUUUAAUAUCAUUACUGAAACAUUGAGCUUCUGUUUCCAUCAUCAGUGUCAUUAUUAUUGAUAUUUAUUCAUAAAAUCUGCCUCAUUGCUGUUAUAUUUGCUUUAAGGUUAAAUAAAGUUUGUUCCAGUC